rnacentral:rRNA from 1 species
UACGGGGGGGGCAAGCGUUGUUCGGAAUUACUGGGCGUAAAGGGCUCGUAGGUGGCCAACUAAGUCAGACGUGAAAUCCCUCAGCUUAACUGGGGAACUGCGUCUGAUACUGGAUGGCUUGAGUUUGGGAGAGGGAUGCGGAAUUCCAGGUGUAGCGGUGAAAUGCGUAGAUAUCUGGAGGAAGACCGGUGGCGAAGGCGGCAUCCUGGACCAACACUGACACUGAGGAGCGAAAGCCAGGGGAGCAAACGGG